CUCUCUCCAAUUCUCUCUCUUUCUCUCCCCCCACUCUAUUUUCCUCAUUCUUUCUCUCCUUCCAAAAGCUCACUGCGCUUUGUGAGUCAGAGGAGCUGCAAUGACAACAACAACAACAACAAAUUUUCAUUGCUGAAGCUGGAGCAUCUUCUCGGCAAGGAGAGUAUGUCAUAGUGUCUGCAUUUGAUUGAUUCAGUAAAAAUAAUGUCAAAGUGGCAUUUGCAGAGACAGAUAAAAGAUUCUGAUGGAAAGGCCCAGUGGGGAUAACACAACUGUGCAAAGUGAUAAUAAGAAGUUAUCUUCCCUUACCUGAGAGUUACCAUUUUUCCACCGCAGAAAGAGUAACUGAGGAUCUUGGUCUUCAUAAAGAAGAGAAGAUAUAUUCUUUGAUCUUUUUAAAACUAUCUGACUUUUUGUUUGUUUUUUGUUUUUGUUUUCCUAAAAAUCCUCUUGUUCUGCAAUUCUGAUAGUGCAGCUCAUUUGACAUGCCC
ensembl:lncRNA